rnacentral:lncRNA from 1 species
UUUGCUUCUGAUAGGGCAAGACACUGUGAUCGUGAGACACCCUAUUCCCUGCCCUCAUCUAUGUGAGCUGGCAGGUUUGGCUCUGCUCCCAAUCCAGAAACUUCUAGGGCUUAUUUCAGCUAUCUUUCAGGAACUUGAAAUAUUUUAUUGUGUUGGCUAUGCCCUGAGAAGAUGGAGUGUCUAGAGCUGCUGGGGCCAACUUGCUGUGCUAUCUGGGAAAUUUGGAAAUGGAGCCAAAAAAAAAAGAAAUGGAGACAGAGAAACCAGCCACUUGUGACAUCAUUUGAACACCCACAUCAAUCCACCCUUCAAACGAGACCACCUCUUGUUUAAAGAGCUAUAGUACCUUACACACAUCCCCUCGUGUAAGUCGAUGUGGCUAAAAGGGAAUUUCUAGAUUUUUCUCACUGCUACCUAGUCAGCAUCUGAUUAGUCCAGUAUAAGGAAACUGCUAGAUACACUCCCAGCCCUCGAGGAGUUCAGGAUUUAUUUGGGCCACAAGACAGAAAAAAAAAAAAAAUUCAAAUCCUGGGAUGGCAUAUGACAAGAGGUGCCAUUAGUAAGUGCUCUUCAGUUCUGAGAAAAGCAAUCUGGUCCGUGAGGAUCUAGGACAUUAGUGAGCUGGUCCUUAGAGGACAGGUAGGCUUCCACCAGUGAGAGGGACAGGGGGCCACCAAAUGGAGGGCCUAGUGGGAGCCACUUAUUACCUACAGCAGCAGGCAGUCACUAUUAGUCAUGUUCUCCCUGCUGGAGUGGAAGCCCCUGAAGACAGAAGAUUCGUCUCUCCCCGUACCAAGCAGAGUACCUAGGACAAGACAGGUACUCAAAAAAGACAAUGUGUUUGCACAGUCUUCUAAGAACAUAAAGUAGAUACAUAAACUAGAGCAGAGGUUUGAUGUGAGAUACAGUUGAAUGAUUAUUGUUUUGAAUGAAACUCUAUCCACUUAACUGGUCACUACCCCAGCAGCUAAGAGGCCUGGACAGCAGGGGAUCCACCUACAUGGGUCCCUUCCAGGAGGCCUUGCCCUCAAGGUACGGGAUGGGGACCUGGCUUCAAAGACACAACUACAAUAUGAAAGUUUAAGUGUUUUUAGUAUUUACAGACCCUCAGGGAUAGAAGGCAAGCCUAGAGACCACACACACACAGGGGGUCAGGGAGCACAGAUAGGGAGAGAGAGAAGAAACCCAUGGCCCAGCACCUUUCUUGGGUCCAGGGUGUUAUCUAAACAGGUUUCCUGGGGAGCUUUAAUUGGUAGGUUGAAAGCAAGCAGGCAUUAGUUCCAGUAGGUCAUGCUGGGCUGAGAGGUGGUCACUUUGAGUUCUUGUGCAGAUGUCUGAAGAGCUUCUUUAAAGGAAGCAACAGGAAACCGGGGAGCCCAGCCUGCUUAGGUGUCUCUGAGAGAGAUAUUUCUAAGUUUUACUUCUGGCCACCAGCAAGAGCCAUUCUGAUGGGGAACAGUAUUGGAAACUGAGUCAAGGGUGGACUGAGCCCUGCUUCUGGUAUGAGAAAGCUAAACUUAUAUUUUACAAUGGAUAUAACAUAAAAUUAUAAAUGCUCACUUCAGUCACCUCCUCAGUGCUUCUGUUUUCUUACCAGCUUUUAUUUUCUUAGUAACAUCGGUCAUUCUCUAUAACUAUUUGUCCCCACUAGAGCAUAAGUUCCACAAGGCCAGGGUGACCUUAUCCACCAGGCAGAGGCAGGGGAGGAGGGAGUACGGACUCUGGGCCAGGGCUGCUUUGGUAGGAAAGCUGGCUGUGCCUCUUAUGAUGCAAUCUGGAACAAACUAUUCAUGCUGUUUGUGCUUCAGUUUCCUCAUCUGUUAAUAGGGGAUAAUAUUGGGCUUUUCCUCACAGUUUGUCAUGCAAGUAAAUCGAGUAGGUCACUUAAAAGUGCCUGGCACAUAACAGACACUCCACAAUUGAUAGCUAUAGUUAUGGCUAGUUAUGUUCAUCCUUACUCCUCCUGCACCUAGAAAAAC